GCACAAGCAGUGGAGUAUGUGGUUUAAUUCGAAGCAACGCGAAGAACCUUACCAGGUCUUGACAUCCCGAUGACCGCCUUAGAGAUAAGGCUUUUCUUCGGAACAUCGGUGACAGGUGGUGCAUGGUUGUCAUCAGCUCGUGUCGUGAGAUGUUGGGUUAAGUCCCGCAACGAGCGCAACCCUUACGGUUAGUUGAUACGCAAGAUCACUCUAGCCGGACUGCCGUUGACAAAA
rnacentral:rRNA from 1 species